UACGUAGGGUGCAAGCGUUUGUCCGGAAUUAUUGGGCGUAAAGGGCUCGUAGGCGGUUUGUCGCGUCGGGAGUGAAAACUCAGGGCUCAACCCUGAGCGUGCUUCCGAUACGGGCAGACUAGAGGUAUGCAGGGGAGAACGGAAUUCCUGGUGUAGCGGUGGAAUGACGCAGAUAUCAGGAGGAACACCGGUGGCGAAGGCGGUUCUCUGGGCAUUACCUGACGCUGAGGAGCGAAAGCAUGGGGAGCGAACAGG
rnacentral:rRNA from 1 species